rnacentral:rRNA from 1 species
UACGAAGGAGGCUAGCGUUGUUCGGAAUUACUGGGCGUAAAGCGCACGUAGGCGGAUUUGUAAGUCAGGGGUGAAAUCCCGGGGCUCAACCUCGGAACUGCCUUUGAUACUGCAAGUCUCGAGUCCGGAAGGGGUGAGUGGAAUUCCUAGUGUAGAGGUGAAAUUCGUAGAUAUUAGGAAGAACACCAGUGGCGAAGGCGGCUCACUGGUCCGGUACUGACGCUGAGGUGCGAAAGCGUGGGGAGCAAACAGG